CAAACCCUAGAGACAAUUUUUAAUUCCUCACUCUCUCUCAAACCCUAGCGGCCCUCAGUCACCAAAUCUAUCCCUGACCGGCGGCACCACUCCAAACACCACCAAACUAACACCAGACAACCUCUAUUUCCCCCUCUUUCCAAAUAUCCUAACCUCGCCCUUCGAAACCCACUAGAACUCGCCCAAUAUUAGAUCUUGAUUUCCAGAAAAAGCUGAGUUCGUCCCAUCUCUGACUCUCAAUGAUUUGCUAGUCGUUUUGGCUUGAAACUUACGUGAAUCGACUACUCUUGACAAGAGCAAUCGAUAUACGUUAGUUUCGAUUCAUUUCGAAACCACCAGAAUCCGUUCGAACCUCGUUGUUUGGCCAUUUCCUCCUCCAGUGUGUGUUCCAAUCGUGAUGCAGGAAUCUGGUUUCAUGCUUUCUUUCAAUUUGCUCAGCAUAGUGUUUGAAUUUAACAAGUGAGGAUAGAUUUGUAGCUAUUUUGUCACAAAGCUCUAACAAGCCAAAAGGAUCACGAGAUGUGGCCAUUGUAGAAAACUAUCAGUUCAUUUGAUUAUGUAACUAGCUUAAAGCAUCACUCUAAUGUAUAUUCUAUCUCAGAUUUUCAUAUGUAUGAAUUAGUUGUCAAUCGUGUUUAAAUCUAGCAUCAAUUCAGUUUACUGAAAGUAUUUAAUCA